CUGAAACACUGAGGAUAGGUGUCCAUUUUCAGAUUCAUGUGUCCGUGCCAGAGGCAUUUUCUGAAAUUUCUGGAUCUCAGAAAUGUUACAGUGUAGAAAAAAGAAGGCAUGCUUCUGAACCGAGGACAGCAACAUGGCAGAAGAGAAGGCGACUGGUCUUGAAACUGGUCUCCUGGAAACAAUCAAGCUUUUCAUUGCAUCACAAGAGACCUCAGAUGAAAGAGAUGCUCUCCUGGACUGUGAUCAUGUGCUGUGACCAAAUCUGCUGUGAAGCCGUUGGCCAGGGAUACGCUGCUUCCAACCCUACUGAGACAUGCAUUACAUAAAACAAUGUCUUAGCCAGGAUGUAUCUUUUUAAUCACAACAAUAUUAGAGGUGAUAAUUGCCCCCCCAAAAAAGUUGAGUCAAUUAUGCUGGAAUAUUUGAUUAGCCCUAAUAACCAAAUGUUAUUAAACCCACCCAAUUAAGCCUCCAAUUAUGAGGAAGUUGCAAGAUUUUCUGAAUUUUACUUAAUAAGGCUGUUAGCUUGAAGAUUAUUGUCAUUUUGUUCUAACACCACAAAAACCUGUCUUGGAGGAGACUAAAGUGGGG
rnacentral:lncRNA from 1 species